UUCCGUUCUGUGCAGAAGCGGAUCGUCGGCGGGAGCCGGGAGACGGAUAUUUGCCUGCGCGCAAAGAUAUCAAAUCCCCUCCGAGCAUCUCCAGCAGGUGGAGGUUCCGUGCACCGGGGCCUGAGUGUUCAAGAAGACGACAAUCAACAAUCAUCAGUCACAGUCAGAAUGGACACAGGAAAGCCCUUAACGUGGGUGCGAAAUGUACUCAAGAGACUUUUUCCAGGCAGCUCAUCGAGGGAAGAUGAUCGGGUUACGGGAAGCAAGGUACCAAGGCAGGCACCAAUAGAAAGCGGUCCGGCCGCACUGGAGGAGGAGCAAAGUCAGCCCAGAGACAGUGACGUCAGAGACACUGAGCAGGACCCUGGAA